rnacentral:piRNA from 1 species
GGAGAACAAGGACAAAGCCCUGGA